rnacentral:lncRNA from 1 species
AAAUAAGGAUAAUUUGUCAAAACGGAAACGAGCUUGAGACCGCCAGACCUCCUCUCCCUCGAGACCGCCGGACCUCCUCUCCCUCGACCGCCGGACCUCCUCGUCGCUGCUCCGCCGUCUCGAACCAUAUGCUCCGUCAUCUUUUCUCAUCACCGUCGAGCUCAUCCUCAUCGUCUUUGUGUCGUCACGUUCAAUGGGCCGGUGUACACCAUCGAGCUUAUCAAUCUUCCCAGAAACGAUUGAUUCAUGUUGGUCAGGAAGAAGCUUAGAUCGAGAACAAACAAAUCGAACGAAUCAAGCGGCGAUUAUUCGGAGAUUACUCGGAGAGUAAUUACAGCCUUUUUUGUUACUUCUCACGCAUAUAUUUUAUAGAAUGUAACAGAUAUCCAAAGGAUUUGUGUUGUCAUUGUGGUUAAGUUGUUUCUGAGUAAUUUUGUGUCAUAGGUUCGAAUCUUAGGAUGGCAUUUUAAUAAUUUAUUUAUUGUUUUAAUGCAG